rnacentral:lncRNA from 1 species
AACCACUGAUUUCCCCCAUGCUGACCUUCCCUGCCCUGCCGAGCUUUGCUUUAGUUCUGUGCAUUUAGCAUCUGUAAAAGUUCUCAUCUCCUCUGGCUUAUUUGUGAUUUCCUUUAAGCUUUCCCUUUCUCUGCAUUCGUAGGACCUCUAAAACCAUCUGUGUUUUUUGAGGUUUUUUAUCUGUUUUGUUUCCCUCUGAGCACAGGAACUCACAUGAGCCUAGAGCUCAGAGGACCCACUUGAGGUGUAACUAGGCUCCUGUAUCGUAGCUCAGAAGCACUCUGUUCAUGUUGAAUGGCCUUGAAACAGAGGGUAUGUUCAGUGAGUAUUUGGGUGUAUAAAUCAGGAGCACAAGAAAAAGUUUGCACAAGGCUACAAAGAAAAUAUAGUUAUCCUCUGAAAUGCCAGAGGAAAAAACGUAAUGAGCUUUUGAUGGAGUUCCCAAUGUAGCUCAGUGGUAAUGAACCCGACUAGUAUCCAUGCUGAUGUGGGUUCAAUCCCUGGCCUUGUUCAGUGGGUUAAGGAUCCAGUGUGGCCAUGAGCUAUAGCGAGGGUCAUAGAUGCAGCUCUGAUAUGGUGUUGCUGUGGCCGAUGUAGCUCCAUUUCAACCCUUAGCCUGGGAAUUUCCAUAUGACUUGGGUUCGGGCCUAACAAAAAGACAAAACAAACAAAAAACCAUAGUGAGCUUUUGAAAAGAACUCCAGUCUCCACAGCGCUCCCGGCAUAUCUCUAUCCUGUGUCCUGGGUUCUUCCCGGAGAUAACUUAUUACUGUCCACUGGGGUGCUCAGUUACCUUCCUAAACCAAGGUGAGGAAAAUGCUGUUUCCCUUUGGUUCAACUGGAACAUACCUAAACUUUCAAAAAGAAUAUUAAGAGGAUCUUUAAGACAAAGUACCUGGAUAUGCUAAUAUAGAGUACAAACGUGUCCUGACGACUAAAAUCUAGCCAUAAAUUGGCUUGACUGGUACUAUGGGGUACCAAUCUCGGCACAUUCUAAAGCAGUAAUUCUCGAAAGGGGUGAUUUUGCCCAUCAUUGGACAUUUGGUAAACAUCUGGAAACAUUUUUGUUGAUCAUAGCUAUAAGCGGGGAUGUUACUGGCAUUUAGUUGGUAGAGAGCAGAGUUCCUGCUAAAUAUCCUGUACAAGACAGCCACCUACAAGAAGGAAUGAUCACAGUAUCAUUCCUACAAUGUCAGUAGUGCUGAGGUUGAGAAACUCUGGCAUAAGGAGAUGUGUGAGAAGACUGGUGUUUGAUUUCAGUUUGUAUAUCUGGGUUUUGUUGUUGUUUUGGUUUGGUUUGGUUUUUUUGGCUGCCCUCAAAGCAUAUGGAAAUUCCUGGGCCAGGGAUCAAAUCCAAGCCACUGUUUCAACCUACCCCACAACCGCAGCAAUGGCAGAUACUUAGCUCAAUUCGCCCCUCCAGGGAUCAAACCUGCACCUCCAUGGAGACAAGUAGAAUCAUUAACACACUGUGCCACAGCGGGAACUCCUAAAAUCUGUUCUAAUUCAAUAUAACCAGAAUCUUUUCAGCCUGACAACCCAAUUCCCCUAUCAGUGGGAAUUCCAACUCCUAAUUUUCUGUGCAGAGAAAAUAAACCACUGAUUGAAACUUUAUUGGAGUUCUCUCAUGGCUCAGCAGGUUAAGGAUCCAGAAUUGUCACCACUGUGGCUAUGGUUAUAGCUGUGAUGUGAUGUGGGUUUGAUCCCUGGCCCCAAGAACUUCCACAUGCCCUGGGAAUGGCCAAAAACAAAACAAAACAAAAAACUUGUUUAAUUUAGAGACCUGGCUUUCUCUACCUCCCCAGUUCUCUUUGAUUAUUUAGAUGUCCCUAAGAGGAAAGCAUUGCAGACUUCCAUCACUAGUUUUUAACUAAAAAUAAUGUAAAAAAUCCCUUAAAGAGGUCCCUAACCAGUAUUUAUUUAGAACCUAUUGAAUGUCUAAUAGUCUGCAAAGAACCAAAGAGAAAUUUUUUUUUUCCUGCAGCAAAUGGAAGUUCCCAGACUGAAGGUCAAAUUGGAGCCGCAGCUGCCAGCCUACCACAGCCACAGCAAUGCCGUAUCUGAGCCGCAUCUGUGACCUGCACCACAGCUCAUGGCAAUGCCAGAUCCUUAACCCAAUGAUCGAGGCCAGAGAUGGAACCUGCAUCUCAUGGAUGCUAGUUGGAUUCUUAACUGGCUGAACUACAAUGGGAAUUCUGAGAAUUUUUUUAGUGUCAUCUUCACUAAUUUUGUUUUUUUGUUUGUUUGUUUUGUUUUUGUUUUGUUUUUUGUUUUUCUUCUUACCUUUUCUAGGGCCGCUCCUGGGGUAUACGGAGGUUCCCAGGCUAGAGGUUGAAUCAGAGCUGUAGCUGCCGGCCUACAUCACAGCCACAGCAACUUGGGAUCUUAGCCGUGUCUGCAACCUACACCACAGCUCAUGGCAACUCGGGAUCCUUAACCCACUGAACAAGGCUAGGGAUCAAACCUGCAACCUCAUGGUUCCUAGUCAGAUUUGUUAACCACUGUAACCACUGUGCCACGACGGGAACUCCAUCUUCACUAAUUUUAUAUUACUGUUUUGUCUUCAACUCAUUUGGAAGCCCUCUCAAGGAGCAACUGCGUGAAAUUUGAAAAACGCUGUAAAGGUAUUAAAGAUAUCGUUCACUACAUCACUUACAAUGUAUUCUAUGAUGUCCCCACACUAAAAAAAACUUUCUUUUAGGGUUAAGUUAGGGGAAAGUUUGAGUUGGUUUGGUUUCCUCUUUUCUAAUGAAAUUUAAACAAAUUUUCCUUUAAGCUACGGCUACCAGUAAACUCAGCAAAAUUCCAAUUAUACAAACGGUGACCUUUGUCCUACCUCUUUAUCCCCCGCCCCUUGUUUUGUUGUUGAAAUCGAUUUCAAAUCCUGUGUAAGAGGGAAGGUUGGGCAAGAAAAAGGAAUCAAGAGGUAGAAAAAUGUUUAUGCAAUUGAAGAGUAUAGAAAUAAAUGGACAUGGAAAAAUAACUAGAGAAAAUCAUGUGUCUUAAAAAUUGAGUGCCAGGAAGUGUCAUAUUGUUCAUAAUUACUGGUGCCACAGCAUUUUAAAACAUGAGUGAGUUAUCAUGAAUUCUAAAUCCUAGAACAUGUGGAAUAAAAUGGCCGCAAAGGCGAUGUGUUCAUUGGUGAGGAGGAAGGAAGAUGAGCUUUGCUUCUGAAAGUGAGAACCAUAUGGAUACAUGUUUAAAGGACAGUGAGCAGGUCUGGUGAGAUGGGAGAUCCACACUGGGUAUGUAUAUGUAUUCGUGUGUAUCUAUAUAAGAGAGAGAGAGAGAUGGAUAGACGGUUGUAGUAAAGAACCUUGAAAGCUAUGGAAAAACAUUUUUUUUUUUUUUAAGGGCCACACCUGGGCAUAUGGAAGUUCCCAGGCUAGGGGUUGAAUUGGACCUGCAGCUAGAGGCCUCUGUUGCAGCCAUAGCCACGCUACAUCCUAGUGGCAUCUAUGAAACUGCAGCUCGCGGCAACACCAGAUCCUUAAACCACUGAGCGAGGCCAGGGAUCAAACCUGCAACCUCAUGGACUCUAUGUCAGGUUCUUAGCUCACUGAGCCACAACAGGAACUCCCCCCCACACACUUGUAAGGCUAGAAAUACAACCUCUUAUUUUAAAAAAUAAGAGACAGAGACAUUCCCCCCAGACUCUGGAAUUAAUUCUCCCCCACUGCUAGUAGGGUCUCGAAGGCAGAAUUCCUUUACUCAGGGCUCUUUCUGCUGUGCCACAUUAGCUCUCAAAAUUUUGCUUGAGAGUAGAAAGCUGUUGUAGGUGUAUAAACUAGGGAGCAUUUUUGAAAGCGUGGCAACAUGGGCGACAAGCUGUGAAGAGAAAGAACCAAAGAGUCUUUACUUGUCAAGAAGGAAGUCAUUACUGAGGAAACAACAAGCUGGCUGGUUAGGAAACCCUCUCAAUGCCCAACUGCACUGUUGUUAUAGUUCUUACAUUGCAAAAGGCAACAUUAGUAUACAAAGUCCCCAUUUAGCAGGAUUGAUGUCUUUCUGGAAAGGAUUAUGAAUUUUCCACCUGAAUGGUGCCUGUCUCACCUGACUUGGAGGACCGCUGGUUUCUUUUCCUACAUUACUUCCUAUCCAGAAGUCGGACAAACUAGAUAUUGAUAAUAGGAAUUUACAUAAAGCGUUUUCUUAGGAGCAAGCUCUCCAAUGUAUUGAAUAGAGGAUUCUCUUAAGAAGUCAUUUUUCCAAUGUAUAGAAUGUGUGAUUCCAUAUCAUCGCUACUUUUUAGGAAAAAUGAAAGGCACUGAAAGCUGCCUUUCCCCACAUUUCAGAGAGUGAGUUUUAUGAGUGCGUUUAAAUAGUAUGGGUUUAAUGCUUAUGUUUAUUACUGGAUACAAAAUAUUUCGGGGGAAACUUUCAUUGAAUCAGUCACUGAAACAAGAAAGUUAAGGCACUUUUGUAGUUUUUCACUUCCAUAAUGAAACUUUUUCUCCCAAGAAAUACAAACUUGACAGCUUGAAGUUUUUGUGGCAAAACUUCAAAAGACCUACUCUUAGGUCAAUAGGAAUAAAAUAGUUUUGAAGCACUAAGAUUAAAAGGUACUGUAAUAUCUUCUCAAAAGCUUAAAAAUACUCUGUCAUAUUCAUGUUUACACAGUAGUGUAUCGGCUUUUAUUCAAGAUAGUAUUCUUGCUUCACUGAGGUAAAUGUGUUUUAUAUAAAGUUGUGAGAAUGCCUGCCAUGUUUCCUCUGUCUCUUCUGGGUUCUGAGACUUACUUGGUGCACAAAACCAUGUAGACUUUCUGGCUAUCAUCUUUCCAGGUAGAUUUUUACAGAUAAGAAUGUAAUAUUUUUGAAUAAACAAAAUUUGUAAAGAAAUUUCAGAACACCUUGGAGACCCUCAAGAUUCCCUAGCAGACCACCAGCACUGUGAGGGGGCGGGGUGUGAGACCAACACCAGGAUACCACCCUCCAUCCAACCUCAGGACAGUGGCUCCUGCAUGGACUCAAGGUACCAGACUUCAGGCUUCCCAGUUCUCAGACCUCAGACUCUUGUUUGUACCUAUAUCUAAGGGGACAGCUACAAGAAUAAAUCAUCCGACACCAAGAAAUUUGCAACAACCACGUCACUCCCUCACCUUGCCUUUCGAAGGGCUUUGCUGAAAGCCUUCAGGGAGUUCAGGGCAUUUUAAAGCACAAGCCACCCAUUUCUUUGCAUGGCCCUGCAGUAAACCCUUCUCUGCUC